rnacentral:lncRNA from 1 species
AGCGUAUUUAUUCAUACAUGUAGAAUCUAUAAUCUUCGAAUAAUUGUUAUAAAAUGUGUAGCUUAAAAGAUUUCCUAGGCAAUUGUGACAACUGCAGUGACGACAGGUAUUUUUGAAACCGCUUUCAUUUUAAAAGAGACAUGUAUAAUUUUUUGUCAGAAAUUUUCUUACUUAAAUCUGACAUUCCAUUGUACACCACAACUGAGGACCUGUGAUAUUCAUAGAAAUGUUAUCAUCGAAACA